rnacentral:rRNA from 1 species
CCUUAGUCUGCUAAAUAGACAGGCUCACUUUGGUGGGUUUUGUCUUCUUAGAGAGACUUCUUACGCAUAGUGAGAGGAAGUUUGAGGCAAUAACAGGUCUGUGAUGCCCUUAGAUGUUCUGGGCCGCACGCGCGCUACAAUGAUGGAGGCAGCAAGUAAUUCACCUUGGCCGGAAGGUCUGGGUAAUCUUGUGAAACUUUAUCGUGUUGGGGAUCGUCCCUUGUAAUUAUUGGACGUGAACGAGGAAUUCCUAGUAAGCGCAAGUCAUCAGCUUGCGUUGAUUACGUCCCUGCCCUUUGUACACACCGCCCGUCGCUACUACCGAUUGAAUGGCUUAGUGAGACCUCCGGAUUGACGGUUUUUGGGCCGCAAGGCCUGAUGGCUGUUGAGAAGCUGGUCAAACUUGGUCAUUUAGAGGAAGUAAAAGUCG